rnacentral:misc_RNA from 1 species
GAUGAAGAACGUAGCGAAAUGCGAUACUUGGUGUGAAUUGCAGAAUCCCGUGAACCAUCGAGUCUUUGAACGCAAGUUGCGCCCGAAGCCAUUAGGCCGAGGGCACGCCUGCCUGGGCGUCACACGUCGUUGCCCCCCCAUCUACUCCUUCGGGAUUGCGGGGGGCGGAUGAUGGCCUCCCGUGCGCCUAGUCGCGCGGUUGGCCUAAAAGCCAAGUCCUCGGCGACGCACGCCACGACAAUCGGUGGUUGCGAAACCUCGGUUGCCCGUCGUGUGCGGUCGUCGCGCAUCGAGGGCUCGAAAAAAUUGCCGGGCUCCGGCUCGGCUUUCAACGCGACCCCAGGUCAGGCGGGGUUACCCGCUGAAUUUAAGCAUAUCAAUAAGCGGAGGA